UUUGAAUCCCGGUACCCCUCCUCUGAAGGGGUGAUGAAUGACUUCAGGGAUCCAAAAACAACAUCACCUCAUGAUAUUUCCCUUAAAGCCAAUCUUAGAGUUGUGUUUUGAUUGUAAUUCUACUGUUCUAGUCAUCACAUUCUGUUAUCGCUAUAAAAAAAGUGUUUGUUGUGCUCGUAUAGUAAUGCAUAAGUCUUGUUUACCGCAGUUUUCUUGGCCAAACAUCCGACUGGGGUUUUAUUUUGAAGAGGACACUGAGCUGUGAGAGAUUAACCUUGCUAUGAGGGCAGCCUGCACAUGCAUGCGUACAGAUGCAGUUACACAGCGCAAUCAGAAGAGGGUGCUGCCGUAAACAAUCUCCUCUAACUUGAGCUGAAACCCUUCUUCUGUGUAAUCACAGCAGGGGGGGAAUAAAUGCUGUGACAUAAGGCUGUUUAAUCCCUGCUCUUCUGAAAAAUGUAUUCUGUCACGCAGCAAUCUGCUCCUGCUUCCUCUCUGUCUAUUUCUGUGCUGAGCUCAGGCAGGACACUACUCACCACAUUUAUACUCUUUUUACAAAUACACAUACAUCAGAGUGUGCUUGGAAUAGUUUUUUAUUGGUUCACAGUAUAUAAAGCAGUUCUCUCUGUAUACUCGCCUCUGUCUCUGUAUUGCAUAUCCUACGCAGGGCCACAAGCUCCAGCGUGUCCACAUCAGACAGCUGCAGGGUCUUCAUCACAGGCAGGAAUGUCAGUCAGGUGAUCAGCACUUGUCUGUGAUCCAGCAGAGGGCAUGCGAAAUGAGCAAAUGAUGCUGGAGAGUUAGAUGCUGCAGAAGUUGAGGCUUAAAUGAGUUAUACGUCCACGUAUACAGAGAGGCUCUCCAUGUGUUCAUCUAAGUGAUUUCAGAUGGAUGCUGAGAACAGAUUAAUCCUGGACAACAAGGAAGUGGCGACAGCAUGACAUGUUGCGGGUCACGUGACCGACUAUUGUGAUGUAUUGUUCAGCCUGACCAUAAACAUUAAGGCUGACUGUUUGUAUGGAGUACUAUCUAUGAUGUCUCUUGUCAGUGGAUAUUGUUAUGACCGCCUUUAUUUCCAUACAAAGAAUUUUGAUGAGUGACACAUUUGUGUGUCAGUGAAGAAACGAGGGACAUCUCUUUAACCAGAGGGGGAGUCAGAAUCAACACAAACUGAAAGUUCCUCACGUGAGCUUUAAAAAGCUGAUUAAGCCAAAACCAGAUUCUGAUAUCAAUGCUUUUUGCUUUUCUUCACUGUUAUACAUGCUCUACAAACUACAUGGUGCUGAAGGUUCUCAAAGACAUGCACUGACAUAAAUGCAAUGGGAUAAAUAUAAAAUAAUUUACAGAUAAUCAUCAGUUCCUGACAUCAGAGUGUUAUUUACACAUGGCUCAACCUGCAGAUAUGUUGAGGUUUAUUCAGUACAUCUACAGUUAAAAAUGAAAUAAGAUACAGAUCAAAAUUAAUUAUCAUAAACCGAUGCUGACCAGUAACUUAUGCCGGCAUCCUGAUGCAGUUUGGGUGCAGGGAGGAACAUCAGUCACUGCACCAGUACAACCAAAACUUCAGCUUGUCUCUUUUAUCUUCUCCAUUAUUUUUCAGUUUUCUUCUUUACGCUCUCUUCGGGGGACAAAAAACGACACACCUUCUCAACAUCAUAGCAGCUGUUUUAUCUUAAUUUCCCUUGAGGAAAAAAAAAGCAAACAACUAUCUGGAAGUGAGUGUUGCAUUAGUCAGAGAAGCUAGUGUGAUCCAGUUAGUAUCACACUGUAAGGCUGAAUCUUUCAACAUGAAGGAAGCAUAAACAGUGAUGGUAUACAAACUAUAGUCUGGAGUUUAUAAAAAAUUGCAGCUAUUAAAACCCAACCCCUCUGUUUUCACUGUCCUUUUCUUUCUCCUGCACCAACAUAGGAGGGGACGAGGAUGAUAAAGGGCUACAGGAAGGGGAAAGGACGCAGCUAUCUGUCUCUCCACAGUCCUGACCUCCACCGAUCCAGCAACCUGAGAGUCUCAAUGAAAUAUUUAGAGCUUCUGUUUUAUCCGCAGUGCGUUGGUCAAGACAAACUGUGGGCCUCCAUGACGUAAUGCCCGCUGUCUGAUUGGUCCUCACUGAGCAGGGGUGGGUCAGGUGACCUGUGCCGCUGUGGCCUUUUAAGGCAUUAUGAUGCCCUGAGGCUCCACAUUAGACUCAGGGUUGUCUGCUGCAGGUUUGAUCAAUCACUCUUAGCUGCAGUUUUUUUCCUCUGCAAAGCUUUUAGCAGUAAAUCUGCUGUGUGUGAACGUUCUUUAGCCAAUUUUAUGAUGAAAUUGAAUUAAGAAAAUUGUCAGUGCAUCUGCUGACCUAUUGCAUACCUUGUUUUGUAAUAUAAGGCCGUCAGAGUUAAGUGGACUAAUUUGAUCUGAAACUUUUGAGGAUACAUUGUUCUAAAGAUGUUUUAUUUUUCUUUAUAUUUUUUCCUUUCUGAUUAUUUGUCUGCAACUGAUCUGCAUGAACCAUCUCCAACAUGCAUCUCUGUGUGUUGGGUUUCUCAUGCUGGGGCUGGUCUGGCAGGCAUCAGGCUCUCUCUGGUUACAAGCUCUGUUUCAAUAGAACAGUAGGGGGUGGAGGAGGUGCUGCUGGUGGGGACGCAGAGGCAGCAAGCAAUACAAUGACCCCCCGGUCUUUACUAAUAGAUGACCCACUGACUAACAAGCCCCCAUGCACCACCACUGUACCACCCACUUACCCACCACUCUACAGCAACACAGAUGCAGACUGAGAGCAAAACAAACAUACAAUGUAAGAAUGUCAUGCUUUGAAUUAAAAAAAAAAUAUUUAUCAGCCUUACAAAAGUAUUCAGUAUUCCGAUGUGUAAUUUUUAAGAUCUUAAUUAUUAUUUAAAGGUUUUCUGGUAAUGAUGCUGCAAGUGCACGGCAAUGAAUAAUCCUCAUUUAGUAAUCCUCUCUACAUGUAAAGUCAGGCAUUUAGGGCUUAAACAAUGAAAAGACAGUCAUGAAUACAUAUUUCAUCCUUACAGAAAAUACUAAAUACAGUUCACCCUUUUUGGUUUAAUAAAAUUAGAUUUAUUUUACGCUUUGCUAUCUUGUUUAUUUUGGUCCUUUUAACUAAUUAUUAGAGCCACAUUUCAAAAGUUAGGGAUUUUGAUAGUUUGCAAAUAGUUAACACACAUUUUUUAAGGGUAAACGCACCAAGUCAAAUGUUGCAACAGAUUUUUUUCUUUUCUUUAAAUUCAUGUGAAAAAAUGUUCUUAUUAUAUUUGACGCCAGCGCAAAACAAAUAUGAUAGUGAUAAAAAACACAGACAGAAUUGUGUGAUACUCAAAAAAACACCUAAGACUGUCUCCCCGUUGACUGCAUUAAUUUGCAUCAGGUAAGGAACUCAACUGGGUAUAAAAAGGGCAUCUCAGAGAUGUCAAUUCUCUCUGGAGUUAAGAUUGAGUUAAGAUGAACCCAGAGUAGGUUCACCACUCUGUGAGAAACUCAGAUAAUUCAGCAAAUCAAGGGUUGUGUUCCUUGAAUCAUCAACUACAAUACAUAAUGUCAUAAAAAGAUUCAGAGGACCUGAAGGAAUCUAGCCGUGCUCUUUGUGCCCUCAGGUGGCACCUGGAUUAAAAACAGACGUGAUUGCAAUGGAGAUCACUGCACAGGCUCAAAAUCCUAUCAAACAGUGUGUUGCUGCAUCUAAAAAUGCAGGUUAAAAUUGUAAUAAAAGAGCAAAUCAUGUACUGUAUGAACAUGAUCCAGAAAGGGUAGAGACUUUUCAAAGCUCAAGCCUAUUAAGAUGGAUUGAGACAGAGUGAAAAAAUGUCUCUGAGGUCUGACAGCUCAAAAUGUGACAUUCAUCAUCAUGGAAUGCAUCUGAAUUCCAGAUUUUUAUUUAUUUAUUUAUUUUUAAUCAGAUCCCAGUUCAAAAGCCAUGCAGCACUCCUCAUAAUAGGCUAUAGGGAUGCAUAAAUGCCCAAUUGGUGCUUAAUGAUCUACCCAGGUUUUGGAGCAACUUAUAUGCUGCUUUCAAACCAAUGUCUUUUUCAGAGAAAGCCCAGAUAGUACAGCAAUAAGAUGCCUGACUAUAUUUUUUUCAUGUAUUACAACAGCAUGACUCUAUUGCAGAAGAGCCUGAGUGUUGAACUGGCCUGCUUGCAGUCCUGACUUGUCACUUUUAAAAUAUAUGGCAUUUCAGGACAUGAAGAAAUAUUACAACAAUUGAGCAACUGAUACUAGGGAUUCAACCGAUCUGAUAUUUGGAUUGGAUAUUGGCUCCGAUAUUGACAAAAAAAACUGGAUCAGAUAUCUGAUGAAUGAUGCCGAUCCAGCGUUCCAAUCCAGUCUUUUUUUCUAUGAAUUAAUAUCAUUCACAGCAAAACAGAGAUUCUGUUCACUCUAUAUUCUAUGUCUGUCUAUCCUUUUGCACUAAACGUUUACAAAGACGUCUUACUUCGUUUUGCUGUGUGCUAAUGUGCAAUUUGUUAUUUGUUAAUAAAUAAUAUUAAUUAAAUUCAUAUCUGUAUUAAUUUGUUACCUUUUUUUAACAAGGCUAAUGUCAAGCCUGAUACUUUCACUCACAGGGCAAGGUAUAAAGUUUAUUCAUUCAACAGUAGUAUUGGAAAGGAUAUUAGCCGAUAUGUUUAGACCAAAUAUCGGUAUCAGAUUGGAUUGGAAAAAAAUUGAUCGGUGAAUCUUUAACUGAUACUUAAUGUAAGGCAGCAUUACAUUUUUGUUGUAUAACCUUUCUAAAAUGAGCCAUUUGACUAUCAAAAGCCCUGGUCUCCUCAGUCCCCAAACCUUUACAGUGUUGUUAAAAUAGGUGAUGCAACAUCUGUGGCCAUAUAUCUGUCCCAACUGUUUAGAAAUGUGCUGUUGUAAUCAAGUUAAUAAGAAAACAUGAAAUAAAAUAAAAUAAAAUAAAAUAAAGUCAACAUCUGUUUUGUUGUUUUUGCACUAUUUUCAAUCAAAUUAAAUAAUUGCUUUUGCAACAUGGGCUGCAGGUGAUUAAUUUACGUCAAAUCAUUUUCAGCGUUGAAAAGAGUUAGAAUAAAAAAAAUUAUCUCUAUGGCUGCCUUUUCUUUUUUCUUUAUGAGCAGCAGACUAAAUCUUGCCGCAUUAUUAUUUCAUCCUGCCUUCUAUAUCGGAUGGCCUUGGUACCUUCACGGGUGGCACGGACACAAACGCACCACGCGUCUACCUGAUCCCUCCGCUGGCACCUGCUUCAUAUGACCCCGGCACGACAGCAGCAAGAAACCAAAUGAGCGCUUUAAAUAUUCAUAGACAGACUACUCGUCUCUGUACACACGCUACAGAUGAUCCGAGGCUCAGGUUUCAGCUUUUCCAGGUGGAAACCACGUCAGGCUGCUCGGAGAGGCUCGGGCUCCUGGACGAAUCACCGCGGAUUGAUUUCACUGUCGCUAUCCAGCAUGAAAGGAGUGUAACCGAACCCAGCCGCAUCACCUCUAAAUAUUACACGAGUUUUGUCCGCUUAGUUAUCUGCCUAAUUAUCAGCAGCAGGUAAAUGGACUCACUGGCUAUCUGAGAGGAGCGGAGGAGCCAUAUAUUAGGCACCUAAAGAGAAGUAGGAGCAUACCUGGGGCUCGGAGGGGGACCCAUAGGUGCUGUGAAGCUCUGCGUAAAGGAAGAGGAUGAAGAGCAAGACGAAGGCCCAGGAGAGGCCCAGGGAAGCUGCCUGACAGCUCACUCAAACCCAUCAGGUUGUAUGUUUUUUUUUUCAUUCACAGGAGAACCUAAAAUAGGCCUCUCUCUCUCUUUCUCUCACUCUCUCUGUUAACUUAAAAAGGAUGAGUUAAGGACAUGUUCCCACCAGCAAAGGUAUUUUUGAUGCUUUUCCUUGAGAAGGAAAUGUUAUGCAAUGCUCACAGAGUAACCACAAGUGCAGGCUUUAAAAAUGCUGUAUUCGAUAAUCAUUAGCCAUCUGGACGUGGACAUUUGAUCCUGCAGCAUCUCGAGCAGAGCUGCAGCCUCAACUGCAUCAGCUGACUAAAACUAAUCCCGGGAUGGGGGGCUGGGAGGAUGCACCAAAUAGUCCCUUUGAUGUGUGCCAGCAGGUUUAAUAUCUGAAAAUGAAGAUAGAUACAAGUGAAAAUGAAUUAACUAUAAGAAUAGGAUUAUCAACUAUUAUAGAGUAAUAGAUUUCUGUUCAAAUAGGUUUAGGGGCAUAUUAAAAAAGCCUUGAGUUUAAGAGGAAAAUCCAACAGUAUCUGUCUCACUCUUUUUCUUUACAUUAAACAUCACUGUGGCCUACGGGUCCCCACAAACUAAAGGAGCCAGAGGCCUGCAGGCCCGCAACGAGCUGUGAAGGCCUCCAUGGAUCCAAAGAAAUCAACCAAACAUGCAUCACAUCUUUAAGAGGCAUUGUGAUGAGGACAAGCGUGGUGGUUUGCAACAUAUAGUAUUUUUUGAGUAACAUUAGGCUUAUAUCUGUGAUUUAAUCAAAAUUACAAGAAGCUUAACAGUAAUAACAAAAAUCUAUCAAAUGUUUAUUGAAAAGGCCUAUCAGUAUUAUCUAUGGGUGUAUGACAACAUGAAUAAAAACAGAGAUAAGCUCAUUAAAAAUGUGGGUUAUUUGUAUGAAAAAACAUUUAUUUUUAGGCCUAGUUUUACGCCUCGUUAAAUCACGUGUUUAAGCCACUCAUUUCAUUAUUUAAAAAAUAAAAACAAUGCAAAAUAAUGUCAAAAUACGUAGAAUAAUAAUUGACUUGAAGGAUUUGGAGAAAUUCAGGCCUCUCUGUCUUUGCUACGGCAGGGGGGUUGGUCCAAAUUAUCAGUCAGGAAAUCGUUUAAUCCGGAGAGACAAACCCAAUCCUCAUCCGCUCAUGUUCGCUGUUCCCGGGUUAAAACAACGCCUCUUUAGUGAGUUACCCACCUUUGUUGGACCACAAAAGCCCGCGGUACCACAGGCCUUGAACGCAACAGAGCUACACGGAUAGUUUGGAUUAUCACUUGAGAGCACGGUGAGAUGGUGGAAAACCGGGUUUGUUUUAGCGGGUAAAUCCUCGGAAGAGAAGCAGGAUAGACGGUGUUUGGGUGCUGCUUCAUAAUAACGCCCACUUUUAAAAACACAGGUACGCAUUUCAGCACCAACAGAGGCUGCGCACUUAUAAGGUUGAGUUUUACAGGUAAAAUCCACAUACCGGUUUUCAUAUCAAGUCUAGAGGACGUGGUUGCUGUAGGCUUCUUGUUUUCCCAAAGUCAAAGUGUAACAUAUUAUUAGGAGCUUUUUAAAAAAAUUUUCCCUUGUUGUCUUGGUUGUGCCUGUCCCUUUAAAAAAGGUGCACGGGAUACCUUUCCUUCCUCAGUGUGUAGUUUGCACGCGCAGGUAAGAGGGAGGAGGCAGAGUUUAGAGAGAGGGAGAGAGAGAGACGAUGGAAGAGAGGGAAGAGAAGAGGAGAGGAGGAGAGGAGAGGAGCGCAGGGCUGAAUUUGACAUUUGAUACUCAGGAAGUCCAGAACGCCGCUUGGAUUUCUUUUGUUUCAUUGUAAUUCUGCAGUCCUGCUGCAGGCAACAAGGACCCUCGGCUUCUGUUGCCUCAACACAACUUGAAGAGAACAAGUCUUCAAAAAGAGAAGAGUUAAAAAAAACGGACUAAAAUGUCUGAUGGGUUCGAGCUCGGUGCGGUUUGUAGCUCCAGGUAUGGCGCACAACGAUGGAUUCGUCGGAAGGUAUGAUUUUAUUUCACACUUUACAUCAGCUUUUCUUAUUUUAGACCCUUUACAACUGAGGACGAUGUAAGCGAGGGGUGUGCAUGGUGUUAACGUAAAAUCCUACGAUUUAAUAUCUUUUGAAAGUAGUCACAAUUCAUCAACAAAUACAGGGAUGAUAGCAUGAAUAAUACCCAGUGAUAGAUUUUAAUCACCUUUAAAAAUAGGUUCACAGAUCUGCAGUUUAUAGACCUCGAAAACACAUUUAUGAGCACCGUCAGUCAGAUCUAAUAAAGUG
rnacentral:lncRNA from 1 species